CUCGGGAGAAGAGCGCUCUCUCUCUGACUCCCGGCCCCUGCCUCCAGGCCCGAGGAGCCGAGCUGCUUCCCCUUGGCAGACUGUAAACACACCAGAGCCCUCUCUCUGCGAUCCCUGGGAAAUGAGAGGCCAUUUCUUGCUCGUUAACUGGAAGAAGCCGCCGGUGUGAAAGCGGCCGCCCAGCCUGGGCACCGCUAAUGGAAUUUUUAACUCGGCCUAACUGCUCCUGAAGGCGCAGACGACUUUCUUGCCUUCUAGCUGUAUGAGAGUCAACACAAUGUUUGAUGCAAUGAAAACGCAGUAGCAAAUCAUGUUUCACGAGUUGGAACCUUGAGGCCCUGCUUCCUCAGAGAUGCCCGCUGCUUCCGUCCUGUGCUGCUUCGCGUGGCUCUCGUGCGGACGCUUCUGUGUGAGCUGGCUUUCCUUUACCAGGGAAAAGAAAACCGUGAGUCGAAGGGCUGCUGUUUCCCUUUCCAUUGAAAAUCUGGCACUGCUUGGACUUCAUUUUUGUUGUUUUUAAAGGAAAUAAACCGUCCUUUCCCCUCUGAAAAAAUCACCUUCCCAGGACUUCCGAGGUGGCCCAGGAGUUAAGACUCCGCCUUCCAAUGCAGGGGUUGCGGGUUUGAUCCCUGGUCAGCGGACUAGAUCCCAUGUGACUUGUGGCCAAAAAACAAAACAUAAACAACAGGAGCAAUAGUGUAACAAACUCAACAAAGAUUUAAAAAAUAAAUAAAUCACCUCCACUUAAACUACUCAACACUUCCUUCUAUCCCUGUUAGCCAAAAUCAAGCUCCCUAUUUAAAAAGUAGUAUUCCUUAAACCUUUCAUCCUGGGGUUCCUUUGCUUCCAGGGAAAGUCUAUAUACUUGCUUAUCUGUUACCUUCGUUUGCGUUUCAUUCCCACUGAACUCAGAGGACUUUGAGGUGGCUCUUGCAUUUCUUUUCUCCUGGCAUUUACUGAUGGAUCUUCUAGGAGCUGACCUGCUGGAGUUUACCUGUCCCAUAUGUAUCUGUAGUCAGGGAACAGAUGCUAGGAUUCUUCCCCUUCUUCCUCUGGGAGGGUGAGGUGACUUGGGAUCCCUCACCCAGACUUUCUGCUCUGGACGGCGGAAAUGGCUGACUUAUCCAUCCAGCGGCAGGAGCAGGGGACCGUUAGUGUCCCCUGGCUGGCACAAGAGCCAUGAUCUCGUGCUGUACAGCCCUGGUCAGAGGAAGCCAAGGGCCCAGGUUCAAGAGGAGAGGCUCGCAGAGCCACUUCCCCGGAGGGCAGGGCCACCUUCCUUCCGUUUGUCAAGUCCCAGCUUGGGAGCAUCCCUCCCAGUGGUGAGGCACACAGCAACACCCUCAGCUCGCUGGGCCAACCAUUUUGCCUCCUUCCUGAGAAAUAAAUUCCAUCAGGAAACAAAAGCCAGAAUCCCCAAACCCUACAAACACAAAGCUUGUGUUUCUAUGUACAGAAAGACUGAGGCUACUUGCUUUUUAUUUAUUUCUAUCAUCACAUUGCUCUUGCACAAGUCUGCG
ensembl:lncRNA